rnacentral:tRNA from 1 species
GGUUGUGGCUCAGUGGUAGAGCGCUUGCCUAGCAUGUGUGAGGCCCUGGGUUCAAUCCUCAGCAUCA